UGUGAAAGAGAAAGAGCGGUCCUUCA
rnacentral:piRNA from 1 species